GCUUGUCUCAAAGAUUAAGCCAUGCAUGUCUAAGUAUAACUCUUUUACUUUGAAAACUGCGAACGGCUCAUUAUAUCAGUUAUAGUUUCUUUGAUAGUCCCUUACUACUUGGAUACCCGUAGUAAUUCUAGAGCUAAUACAUGCUGUUGUGCCCGACUCGCGAAGGGCCGUAUUUAUUAGAUAUCAGCCAAUAAGCAUCUGCUAUUGUGGUGACUCAUAGUAACUUAAUCGGAUCGCAUGGGCUUGUCCCGCGACAAACCAUUCAAGUUUCUGCCCCAUCAUGCUUUCGAUGGUAGUGUAUUGGACUACCAUGGCUUUCACGGGUAACGGAGGAUUAGGGUUCGAUUCCGGAGAGGGAGCCUGAGAAACGGCUACCACAUCCAAGGAAGGCAGCAGG
rnacentral:rRNA from 1 species